rnacentral:rRNA from 1 species
GACGAACGCUGGCGGCGUGCUUAACACAUGCCAGUCGAACGGACAGACCCUGCUUCUUUCGCGUGCUCGCGUGGCGAACGGAUGAGUGACUAGUGAGUAACCUACCCUUGUAUUUGGGUUGACUUACGGCGAGUGAGGCUAAUACCGGCUAGGAGCUACUGAUGCAUGCUUGGGGUUGUAAAGUUUGCGCGUUAGGGGAUGGCUGCGGGGUUUACCAGCGUGUUGGUGGAGUAGUGGCUUACCAACGGAUUGCCAGGUAGCCGGCCUGGGAGGGUGGCCGGCGACAAUAGUACUGAGGUACGGCCCAGACUCCUACCGGAGGCAGCAGUGGAGAAUAUUGCAGAAUGGGCGGAAGCGUGAGGCAGCGACGCCGCGUGCGGGAUGACGGCCUUCGGGUUGUAAACCGCUUUCGCCGGUGACGAAGCGAGAGUGACGGUAAUGUGUAAAGAAGCACCGGCUAACUACGUG